rnacentral:rRNA from 1 species
AUACGGAGGGUGCGAGCGUUAAUCGGAAUUACUGGGCGUAAAGCGUACGUAGGCGGUUGGUUAAGUUAGAUGUGAAAGCCCCGGGCUUAACCUGGGAACUGCAUUUAAAACUGGCGAACUAGAGUUGAGUAGAGGGGAGUGGAAUUUCAGGUGUAGCGGUGAAAUGCGUAGAGAUCUGAAGGAACACCAGUGGCGAAGGCGACUCCCUGGACUCGAACUGACGCUGAGAUACGAAAGCGUGGGUAGCAAACAGGAUUAGAAACCCCGGUAGUCC